UGUGUUCCUAGCCUCUGGCCUCU
rnacentral:miRNA from 1 species